AAAUUCUUUGCUCACUUUUAAUGACAUUCAACAAACUAUUGUGCUAAUGCUACAAGAAAGACAAUGAUGAGUGCGAUCCAGUCCCUAUGUUCAAGCUGGUUACAGUUAAACACAAGGGCUGAGGCAGGGAAAAUAUAAUUUUUACCAGAUUGUGAUUUAGAGAAGGAGGUGGAGAGAGAGGAUGGGAAGGAAGAGGAGAAGGAAAAAGAAAGAGAAUGAUCAUGAAAAGAAUACACAACUAUGAUUUGGUUAACCAGAGAAACAAGAGACUCACCUAUUGUUCCAGCAUUUACUAAAAGUUUAUAAUCCAGGCACUAUGCUAAUUAAUAAGAAAAUACUCUUAAGAAGUACAUGUACAAGGAGAUAAACAUACAUGUAGAUCAUGAAAUACACAUCAAAAAGGAAGAAUUACAAAAGAAUGCUCUGAUGGCACAAAGGAGAAAAGAAUUCACUCUGAUGCAUUAGAAAGGAACAGUUUACCAUGUCCUUAAAAAAAGUAUUUCCAUGGGACUUCCUGCUGUGGCUCAUCAGGUUAAGAACCCAACUAGUAUCUAUGAGGAUGCAGGUUUGAUACCUGGCCUCGCCUGGUGGGUUAAGGAUCUAGUAUUGAUGUAGCUAUGGCAUCUGGCAGCUGCAGCUCCGAUGCAACUCCUAGGCUGGGAACCUCCAAAUGCCUCAUGUGUGGCCCUAAAAGGAAAAAAAAAAAAGUAUUUCAAUGGAUAUCAAGCCUGCGAAGAAUUGUUCCUUCUAUUGGAAGAUCAUGAAAAAUUCCCUGACACGAGAUAGUUUAUCUGGUGUGACUGGAAAAUAAAAAUUCUUCAAGAAGUUGGCAAAUAGGAAAUGUAAAAGGAAAGUAGUGGAAAAUUAAGCUAGAAAAAUGGGGCUGUGAUAACACUGUGAAAGAAACUUCAUCCCAUAGGAAGUGGUUUGGAACCAAUUCUAUAAGCACAUAGAUAUUUUAAAACGGUAGUAUGGCCACCAAUUGUAACCAGGUAUGAGAGGAGUCACGAGUCAUUUGUUAAUUGUAAUGAUUAUAUCACUCAUUUUUGUAAAUUAUAUACUUUUAAAAGGCCAUCAAGAUUUUCCCUAUUUUCCAACAUUCUUUCUACAGUGUGAGGGUUGUAUGCAUAAUUACGGUUGGUGAGGUGUGAAAUCUCAAUCCUUUAAAAAUCACAGGAAGGAGUCAGAAAGAGUGAAUUAUAAAACAUGUGUAUUAAUUAGGGCAGGAAAAUUUUAUAUGUAUAUAUAGAAAGAAAGAAAGAGGAGAAUCAGUGAUACAAUCAAUGGGAAUUUCAUAAUCAUAUGAAAAAUUCUGAAUGCAUUAGGAAAGGAUGAAUAAAUGGAAUCAAUACAAGAAAAGUUAACACUUAUGAAAAUAAAGGUAAAAUGUCAAUAUCUGUACAUAAGUUCUAGAAAAAUAUAAGGGGAAAUGGUUUGCAAAGUCAUCUGAAGACAUAUGACCCAUAAUUUCACAGAAAUAUCACACAUGGACGCAAAUAAACAAACAUGAACUCAGAUAGAUAGAUUCCCAAAGUAUACCCAAGAGGUGAUAAAUAAAUCACUAUGGACAUAUUACAGUAAAACUUACUAACAUAAAAAACAAAGCAAGCAUUCUGAAUGUUCCUAAGGAGACAUGGCAGAUCAUCUAACCAGGAAAUGCAUCACAUUUAGACUCUUUAGGAGGCAGUAGGGGACAGGGCUUGUUCUGCAGGCUGUAGACAGAAUGCUUUGAAUCCAGAGUCCAGCAAACACUAACUGUAGCUCAAACAUUAAAUAAAAUAUCUAACUUCUCCAUAGCUCAGUUUCCUCAUUUAUAUAUUAUAGAUCAUAAUAAUUUCAAGAUCGUUGGAAGUACUAAAUACAUUAGAAUACAUGAAACCUUUAAAAAUAUAGACAGGCACAGUAGGAGGCAUGGCACAGCUAUAAAUGAUUAUGGUUCUCAGAUUUCUUGGUCACAAUAUUUGAUGGAGCAAUACCAGAGAAUAACAUUUUUAAUGUGUUUAAGAUAGUCCACGUUAGAAUUUUAUAUCCUUUUGAAUAAUCAUUUAACACAAUGGUAAAAAAAAAAAACAGAAAAAAUAUAAUGAAUAGAAAAAAAUUAAUGUAUCAGAUUAAUAACACCCAACUAUAAUAAUGGAUAUAAUUGAUAAUAAUUAGUAUAAUUACAUUAUACUAAUUAUUAUUCAUGCUCUAUCCAAAAUUUAUUGAGAGAAUAUUAAACACCAAGUAUUAUUUUAAGUUCUUUAUAUACUAAUAAAUUAUUCACAUCAAUCCUACAUGGAGAAGAGAGGUUCACCAAAGUAGAUCUGAUAGGCAGUCAAGAGUUACCUCCAUAGUAAGCCUUCUGUAAGAUAAAUGUGAGACAGGUCUUAAAUACAAACCAUCUGUUCCUGGUUACCUUUCUGAGUCUUUCCUUGAUGAAAGCUUGUUUACAGACGUUAUCUCUGAGAAAAGGUCCUUGAGUAUUGUUUCAGUGGAGGUAGAAACCUCUAUUUUUAAGGAGUUUUUAAUUUUGGUCACCUGUCCUUUUGUGUUCUCUCCCACAGAAAAAAAAAAAAAAAAGUCAAUUCCUGGUUGAGUCCAGUUGUGGAUAAAACCAAAUACUUCCUUUAAAAGGACUGGCACUAGCUGGUUGGCCCUCACAAGGAAAUGUGUACAAAACAUAGAGCUUUAUAGUUUGUUUCUCAGACAAAUCAUGCACACAUUUCUCCUAGCAUGUGAGUCACAUCAAGGAAUGAUUAAAGAGAAAGAGAAGGAUAUCAAAGUUAGAGGCCUUGACUUUUCACUUGUUAAGAAAUAAUAAUGGUUGGUUAACUAGCCAGAAGGCUGCAAUCAAGUAACAAAAUAGCUAAGGAAAGGUAGCUUAAAAAGAAAAGACUGUGCAGAUUCAAGCAUGGCCAGAGUCAUCUAAAUCUAGUUCUAUAUGUCUUGGAUGGAAGCUGGUCAUGCCCUGCAAUUGCCGUCUUGACCCAAAGCGCUCUGUGGCAGAAGCUCUUUCCAUCCAAAGACCAUUUGCCUCUAAAAAAUUCUUAAGAAUCCCUAAUUUUAAAUCUCCUAAAGGAAUGUCAGUUCUAUUGUCAGUGGGUUAAACUGCAUGUCUUUUUCAGCUAGGACACAUGAAAAACCUAGGUUUUUAGUUUUUCAAGUUUAACUGCUUUGUCAGUGGUAAAAAUUACCCAAGAGUUUCCAUUGCGAGUCCUAGACCUUUUUUUUUUCCCCCUUUAAGUGUCUUUUCCAUAUGACAGAGUCUCUGUUUCUUAGGUCAUAAAGAGGCCACCUCUGAGAAGAUGGAGGAAAUGCAACUCGUAACUGUUGGUGAUAAGAUUGGUUAUAGUGCAGGAAUCCCCUGACAGUGUUUUGCCACAUCAGCUCAAAGCGAGGUAGAGCCCCAAAUUGGCGGAAGAAUAUGCAGCCUUAAAGGGAGAUCUGGAACAUGAUUUUUGUGGGUUUUGUUUGUUUUUUCUUCUUAUAGUCACAUUUGUGGCACAUGGAAGUGCCAGGGCUAGGGGAUGAAUCGGAGCUGCAGCUGCAGGCCAAUACCACAGCCCAACAAUGUAGGAUCCAAGCUGCAUCCUAUACCACAGAUCACAGCAAUGCUAGAUCAUUAACCCUCUGAGUGAGGCCAGGGAUUACACCCACAUCCUCAUGAAGUCUCUGUCAGGUCCUUAACCAAGACAAUACAGUUUCUGAGUAAAGAGCAAGGAUUUGCAAAGUUCUAUAGUAAUUAUUCCAGUACAGUGAGUGCAUCUAUUAGUGGAAAAACAAGUUAGAUUUUCCAGAUUGGAAACAUAAAGUCAGGCAACUUUUUUGCUACCAUCACAACCAUGCCUUUCCAGCAAA
rnacentral:lncRNA from 1 species